AAUGAACGCUGGCGGCAGGCCUAACACAUGCAAGUCGAACGAGUGGCGGACGGGUGAGUAAUGUCUUGGAAACUGCCUGAUGGAGGGGGAUAACUACUGGAAACGGUAGCUAAUACCGCAUACCAUCCGAUGUGCUCCGAUGGGAUUAGGUUGUUGGUGGGGUCACGGCUCACCAAGGCGACGAUCCCUAGCUGGUCUGAGAGGAUGACCAGCCAAACGGGAACUGAGACACGGUCAAGACUCCUACGGGAGGCAGCAGUGGGGAAUAUUGCACAAUGGGGGAAAGCCUGAUGCAGCCAUGCCGGGUGUAUGAAGAAGGCCUUCGGUUUGUAAAGUACUUUCAGCGGGGAGGCGUAACCAGCAGAAGAAGCACCGGCGAACUCCGUGCCAGCAGCGCGGUAAUAC
rnacentral:rRNA from 1 species